rnacentral:lncRNA from 1 species
GUUCUCUCAGUUCUCCUGGGACACCCCAAGCACGCUCAGACCCACCAGCAGAUGCGGUCGGGUGGCGACCUCCAGGAAGGCGAGCCCACAGCUCAAGACAUACGUGUGUCAUCGCAGGCACAGAAACAACACCCUGGGCCAUGCCACAAGUCCCCCACCCACACAUCGCCUACCACGCAAAAGACCUUCUUCCAAUGGCAUUCUCUUUUUCUCUGUAAGAGGCGGUAAAAAGCAAACCAGACAGGAGUCCGCUAGGGUCUCUCUUUACUGCGCUUCUACUCGGCACCCCAAGAAUGUUGCACUGGGCGCUCCGAGUGUGUUUGGUUUCAACAGAGGCUGCCAGGCAGGUGGAGUUGAGGAAGAAGGACCCACUCAAUUAGCAUUUAAAUUCACAGUCCCUUCUUAUUGCCAAAUGUUUCUCCCCCGGGAAUUUGGUGAAAAGCAGGAAUUUAACAAUUAGGAAAUGCGGAAGGCUCCUCAAAAUAGGGAUUCGAAAUCUUAAUUCUCUUACCUAUUUUGGAGGGCCAGGGGGGUGGGGAAGCGCGCGUGGGCUGGGUGGGAGGCACGUCUUGGCUGGCGUGCGUCCUCGUCCCCGACGCCCAGCACACCACCUCACUCUUCCCUUCUUGCACCCCCAUCCCCUUCUCAUGGAGCCUCGGGAGACAGAGCCACAGGAGGCUGGCAGUCCUGUUCUUGCUGCCUGAAGGCAGGUCCAGCUCUUUCCUGGUUGGUGAGCGGCACCAGGGCCAGGGCCUAAGCAGGGUUU